GCUCAUUUGGUGGAAAUGGUAGACACGUCAGACUUAAAAUCUGAUUUCAUAUUGAAGUAUUGGUUCAAGUCCAAUAAUGAGUA
rnacentral:tRNA from 1 species